rnacentral:lncRNA from 1 species
CAGCAUAAGCAUAUUUUACAGCAUUAUUUUUACAACUUUUAUAUUGUUUCCUUUACAAUUUCUAUUUUCUUUUUCCAGCAAUUACUUAAUUUUUCGCACAGUAGUUUCUACACCGGAAACUAUUGUGUACCUUUCACUAGAUCUAACUUUACGUUAGACCCUAGAUUUUUAUUCCUUCAAUUUUAUUUUCCUGUCCGAUUGAAGAAU